rnacentral:rRNA from 1 species
ACGUAAGGACCGAGCGUUGUCCGGAAUCAUUGGGCGUAAAGGGUACGUAGGCGGCUAGAAAAGUUAGAAGUCAAAGGCUAUAGCUCAACUAUAGUAAGCUUCUAAAACUAUUUAGCUUGAGAAAUGGAAGGGAAAGUGGAAUUCCUAGUGUAGCGGUGGAAUGCGCAGAUAUUAGGAAGAAUACCGGUGGCGAAGGCGACUUUCUGGCCAUUAUCUGACGCUGAGGUACGAAAGCGUGGGUAGCAAACAGG